GAUGAACGCUAGCGGCAGGCUUAAUACAUGCAAGUCGAGGGGCAGCAGCUUUGUGGCAAUACAGAGGCUGGCGACCGGCAAACGGGUGCGGAACACGUACACAACCUUCCUUUAAGUGGGGAAUAGCCCGGGGAAACCCGGAUUAAUACCCCGUAACAUUAUGAUGUGGCAUCACAUUAUAAUUAUAGCUCAGGCGCUUAAUGAUGGGUGUGCGGCUGAUUAGAUAGUUGGCGGGGUAACGGCCCACCAAGUCUGCGAUCAGUAACUGGUGUGAGAGCACGACCAGUCACACGGGCACUGAGACACGGGCCCGACUCCUACGGGAGGCAGCAGUAAGAAUAUUGGUCAAUGGACGCAAGUCUGAACCAGCCAUGCCGCGUGGAGGAUGAAGGUCCUCU
rnacentral:rRNA from 1 species